AUACGUCAUAACGUAAGAUCGCGCCAUACUGGCAGUGGCCAGAGUAGAGAGCCUUGAUAAAGUAUGGAACGUUUUCAGGAUAUUCAGCUUUCACUAAAGCGAAUUUUAGUUGAUGUGUCAAUGAAGAACAAAAGCUGGAAUGUGAAUAGAAGAAGGGGUCGUACGGGGUCUGUAAAAAUACUCAAGUGGUGCUCGCUGCAUAUCAGAUCAAGCAUUGGAAUAAGAUUUUUAUCGGGGGAGAACAACCAACAGAAAGACCCAUUCACCAACUACAUGGCGCACUGAAAGGGGAGAUUCAUGUCACCUUCACCAGUCCUUUCUUUAAUUGCUGGAAACUGUUAAGGGAAAGACCCUCAGACAUAAUAGGAUAAAUGUGGCUGCAGGUAAAAUUAUUUGAUGGUGUUAAGGUUUAUCAUUAUCUAACAAACCAAAUGCUUUGUUCAAUAACAAGAAAUCACGUUAGGGCCAUUUUCUGGAAGAGAAAUCCACUUGGACAGUUUGACAAGGAUCAAGAGGCCAAGGACCAGGUGGUGAAGUCGGAACCAGACCAGACAGCUCUCGCACAGCCAGCCUCUGAACCUGCUCUACAGUUUGAAUCGCCCGGGUGAAGUUAAACUCUACUUUGCUGGUGACCCAGAUGGCUGAGAACAUGAUAGGCUGAAACCCUGGAAGCUAAGAGGGAAGCGGCAAAGGAGUUCGAAGAAGAGCUGAAAAGCACGUCUUAAUGAACACAAGGACAAGGCCUGGUGAAAGCCACUACAGAGGAUCAUAGCCAUCGUUGGAGUUCUGAAAGGACGUGGGUGAAUAUCAAUCUGCCAAAUGAACUUUUUUUAGCAUGCACAUUCACAUCUUUAUAUUAAUACUGAUUAUAUAUGAACUUGUUUGUUUGUUACUGGAAAGAACUUAGCUUCUAUUGUGUUUGACAGAAGGAGUUUUAAGCCUAUGUGCAUUUUCUAGAUGUUAAGCAUGAACAGUACUUAAACAACCAUUACCCGUACCAGCUCUGUCCGUGCUCCAUUUUCCAUUGCAGAUCAUACUCAGAGAUAGUACCCCUUAAAUGCAGCUGGUCGUCAUAGCAAGGCCACACACAACUGCCGCGGCGUAAUGUUCAAUGCGAGACACACACCAGCGCCCCAAUUUAAUUUAAAACGUUUCAGCAUUACUCGGAUUUUACUUAAUUUAACUAAAACAAAUAUCAAAAACAUGUCUAAUUAAUACUUUAUCAACACGUCAUACUCCUGGAAAAGACCCACAUAAAUCACAUAUUUUAAAGGAAUAGUCUACUCAUUUUCAAUAUUAUUUCAUAUUUUCAUAUUUCAACAUAUAUCAAUAAUAUGUUAUUACCUUAACUAAGAAUUGUUGAUACAUCCCUCUAUCAUCUGUGUGCGUGCACGUAAGCGC